rnacentral:rRNA from 1 species
UACGUAGGCAGCGAGCGUUGUUCGGAAUUACUGGGCGUAAAGAGUGUGUAGGCGGUGCUCUAAGUUCGGUGUGAAAUCUCCCGGCUUAACUGGGAGGCGCGCCGGAAACUGGAGUGCUCGAGCGUGGGAGAGGAAAGCGGAAUUCCUGGUGUGAGCGGUGAAAUGCGUAGAUAUCAGGAGGAACACCUGCGGUGUAGACGGCUUCUGGACCAUUGCUGACGCUGAGACACGAAAGCGUGGGUAGCAAACAGG